GUUCCACCGCCGGGCAGUCGUCGUCGUCGUCCGCGAAUGCCUCCUCCUCUGCGGCCGCUUCCUUCACGGCGGUCACAGUUCCCACUGAAAAGGAUACAUCGACGGCGCCACCACUCGCUUAUGUAUCCCGGCAAAGAAGAGUGCGAUGAGCGUGAUGCAGCUGAUGG